rnacentral:lncRNA from 1 species
AGUCCCACUACACCCUCCCCCGCCCACCGCCUCAGCAACCAACCUCCAGGGAGGGGAAAGGGGGCAGAAGUUUGAGUUAAUAACUAAUAGCUAAAGAUGUAAACAAUAAGCCUCCAUAAAACCCCAAAAGGACUGGACUGGUUUCUGAGAGCUUCCAGGUUGUUGAGCACGUGGAGGUUCUGGGAGGGUCCACACCCAGAGAAGGCAUGGAAGCUGACCCCUUCCCCAUACCUUGCUCUUUGCAUCUCUUCCAUUUGGCUGUUCCCGAGUUGUAUACUUUGUAAUAAGUGGGAUUUCCACCCAACAACAAUUCAGCCACACUGCUUCACACAUCUAGAAUCCAUCCAAAAUUGUAAAGGCUUUGUGGCACUACAGUGAAACAGGCAAGAACAUCUUCCAAACAUCCAGCACAAGAGCACACAGGAGGCCGGCAUAAUCACGAAUUGCAGCUGUCUGAAGGGCAGUCACAUAAAAGAGGAGAAGCUUCACCUUUGCUUCACAAGGCACAUCUUGAACCAGGGAUGGAAAUUACAGAGAGGCCAAAACCAGCUCGGUGUGAGCAGGACUGGUAACAGACUGGCCAAGCAACAGAAGGGGCUGCCCUGUGAAGAAGCAAGCUCUCUGUCAAUGGGAGGUGCAAGCUGAGCCUGCACUACCUUUUGUCACGGUUGCUAUGGAAAAGAUUAAGAGCCCGGGCUGCUUGAGUGUCUGCAUGACAUGGCAGCUGGCUCCCUGAAGAGCACGUGAUCCGAAAGAGAGAGCAAGACAGAAGCGCAGUGUCUUCAACAGCAUAUCUUUGAAAGUCAUAUUCCACCGUUUUCACUACAUUCUAUUGAUAAGAUAGCCCUUCCUCCUCUGGGGGCCUGGGCAUCAGCAAGUCGGAUGGCAGUGGAAGGUGGAGAAAUGGAAUCCUGCUGGGGGCUCAGGAGGCCUGCCCCCUGAUGCUGCCGUGCACUGCAGAUGUCCUUGAUGAAGAGAAUGAAUGGAAGCUGUCUUUCUCAAUGGCAAAAGGGCAUACUGCUGUUAUUGUCAGUGAGGGGUCAGUAGUUUAAAUGAUGAAACUCUGGGGAUCAGCGUAAAGUAAACCAACAUACUGCAUGUAAGUAUCAAGUAAAUGAGCAGAGACAGCCCCUGGUUUACAAACACCUGACUUAAGCAUCGUCCAUCCUACAGGACAGGGAAGGAGGAAGAAGCUUCGAGAGGCUGGAACAGUUGAGGGAGCGCUGACACGGUAAAGGCCACUUUGCUCAUCAUCACCAGGCGUGCUGCCGAAAAUUUCCACUCUGUUUACUCCCAAGACCUUACUCCUACUAUGUGGAGACACAUUUGAAUAAAAAAUUGGCCUCUUUUCAAAGUCAAAAUUCUGAGCCAGCUUGAAG